GAUGAACGCUGGCGGCGUGCCUAAUACAUGCAAGUCGAGCGAACGGACGAGAAGCUUGCUUCUCUGAUGUUAGCGGCGGACGGGUGAGUAACACGUGGAUAACCUACCUAUAAGACUGGGAUAACUUCGGGAAACCGGAGCUAAUACCGGAUAAUAUUUUGAACCGCAUGGUUCAAAAGUGAAAGACGGUCUUGCUGUCACUUAUAGAUGGAUCCGCGCUGCAUUAGCUAGUUGGUAAGGUAACGGCUUACCAAGGCAACGAUGCAUAGCCGACCUGAGAGGGUGAUCGGCCACACUGGAACUGAGACACGGUCCAGACUCCUACGGGAGGCAGCAGUAGGGAAUCUUCCGCAAUGGGCGAAAGCCUGACGGAGCAACGCCGCGUGAGUGAUGAAGGUCUUAGGAUCGUAAAACUCUGUUAUUAGGGAAGAACAUAUGUGUAAGUAACUGUGCACUUCUUGACGGUACCUAAUCAGAAAGCCACGGCUAACUACGUG
rnacentral:rRNA from 1 species